rnacentral:lncRNA from 1 species
ACAGGACAACGUGUCUCCGUUCGAAUUGUCUACUCGUAGUGGGAGUAGAGUGUACACCGUACACCUUAGCCUUAAAGUAUGACGUCAUUGAUCCGUUGACUCGGAAGCGAGACAAGUUACGAAACCUAACCAUGGAAUCGCUAUCGAUUUUUCGCGCCGAUCGGUAAUCUUCAUCCUUGUGCGACGAAAAUAGGGUUUCCAUGAAAAAUCGUUGUAUGAAUGAACGUGCAUAGGAAGGAGGAAAUUAUGUAACGUAGCUCUUACGAUCGACUUUUCGCGACGACCUUCGAGCUUUUACAAUAACAUGGAAAAUUUCGAUAAAUUCUGGAGAAUUAAUCGACUAUCGAACACGAAGAGGAGAAAAUUGUGAAACGUAGUUUUUACCUGUUCUGAGAUGUAAUUUACCUCGGGGUAAAAGUCUGUAAUGAGUUUCAUCUGGAAACUGCGAGUUGAUUUACUCACACCGUUGGUCUCUUCCUAUUUGUUCGAGAAGAAAUUGUCCCCGUAGUUUAAGGGAUGUUUGAAAUUAAAGUAACGAGAUCAGAGCAGAAGUUGAUAACAUCAGGUGAAAACAUUGAGAGGAAAAGCAUUGUUAGUAACCUUCUUUUACGUGCUAUUAUUUCUUGUCGCUCUGUUUGAAUUUUCAUGCACUUUGCGAAAAAAUACUUUGUGGAAAGAUAAAAAACUGUGGAUAAUUCUUGACUAACUUCAAAGAAUAAUUAACUUCAAAUAAUAAUAACUGUGGAGAUUAGUCAAAUGUGAAGGUAAAUCGCGAGGCAUUGGGUGGAAGACAAGUAGUGCUCUUCGAGGUUUCCACUCUCUGGGGAUUACAAAGAGAUGAACGAUCCUCGACAACUCUCCAACAAACGUAUUUCGAGCCCAUCUGAUAUCCAAUUGCAGGUCAUUUGUGCCUACAUCCUCGACAUUUAUCAACACCAGUUUGUUGAAAGUUGAUUUAUCGUAUCAAACUACUCCUUGAUGGAAGAUCUGAGCCAAAGUGCAGACUACCCAAUGGCCAUUCAAUACUACUCACUUCCUCCAAAAUAAUCCCUAAUGGCUGGCUGACUAUUAGGAACGUUUCUAAGGGUUGCUUCCUGCUUUCAAUUACUAUUUCUAUAGGCAGGGUCUCUCUUGGAUCAAUGGUGGCAAAUAAUCUAUCAUUGAACGAGUAUCUCCCUUUGAAUGUUGUGAUGUGGAAAAUUUCUCCGUAUUGAAGGAAGCACUUUUUCUACGAGAAGAAUUUCUAACAGUGAGAAGAUUGAACUGAGUGUUUCCGGAACUGAAUAAUUCUUUAAGAAUAAAGAAGAAUGGAAGAACAUUGGAAAAAUUUCAAAUUAAGGGUGUUAAGACGGAGGAGCUGUGGCAGGGAAAAGAUUAUAGAAGAGCAUAACGAAAAUUGCAAUGAUAAGGAAUCGUUUAAGUAUUUCUCGUAGAAAAAGAGUUUAAAAAAAAAUAACGCAAAAAUAUCAAGAUUAAUAAUAACAAGUAAAAACUGUAUGAAAGAUGUAAAAGUUAAAUUGUAGCAAUAAAGAAAACAGUGUAAAGGUGAUAAAAAUAAUUUGAUGAUAUAAAAACAUCAUGGUGCCAAAAAAUAAGCUGUUUACCUACAACGAAUAGUACAAAACCAUUAAAAAAGAUAUACUAGCAAUUCUACUAACAAGCGAUGCCAUAAAAUAAAAGAAAGAUUACGUAAAUAUAUACAUAUAUAUAUACAAACAUAUGAUGAUGAUGACAUCCUUCGAAUUCUUCGAAUAUCCUAAAAUUUUAAGCUAGAAAUCUGGAAAAUUGCAGCAUUAUGCUAUCAACGUAUCUAAUUGCUGAUGUAAAUAGCUCCACUAUUUCUAAGAAUUACUCUUUCUCUCUUGUUAAGUGACUUUUAUUUCGUGUCAGAGCGUUUAACAUAUAAUAGACCCUUCCGUAAUUAUCGAAAAAGAAAACAAACGCCCCCGCAGGACAAUGGAUGAACGUUAUUAUUCCGAGCAUCGAGGAUGACGUGUCAGGGGCGCCUACAACAAUGCCCAAUGUCAAAGACCGCAAUAAGACUCGAAGGUUUCCUGCUAGAUACGAUCGUAGUCGUAAAAUCCGAGGGUCAAGUGGCAAUGACCCUGUACCAUAUUUUACCAGAAUUUGGCAAGGCCCAACCUAACACGUUCAAACAAAUGAAACCGAAAGGUGAAUUGCUUAGGUGGAAUUGUAAAUGAUAUAACUGACAUUGAUGAAGAUUUUCGAAUUAUAUAAGCAGAGAAUAUACACUACUAAUAAUUUUAAGUCAUUUUGUUAAUUUCGCUUAUGAUGUGUUAUUAACUUUGAAAUUAAUUCUGCAACCAUCGAUAAUAUUUUUUUUAUUACAAUAAAUUUAAAAUCUAUGGUAGGUUUUUUUCAAUUCAUAAGGUUCUGUGAAACACGUAAUCAUACCACAAGUAUGUAUCGUUUAUCAUUUAAAUUCCACAAUAAGUAAAAUUUCGUAACACGAACGGAUCGCCUGUCUUUCAAUGAAUUUUGAGAAAAGUCUUCAACUUGCGAUGCAAUAUUAUUGUACGUAAUAUUUGAACAACUAUUACAACGGAAAUCGAAGAUUAUAAAUAUCGAACAUGAAAUAGUUAGAUCAUUAUGCCACGUGCGUCUUAGUUCGAUGAUACUGCAAGAUCUAUAAAAUCUCACAGAUAGAAGCGUAUUGCGAAUAUAAGUCUGGUCUCUAACGAUUACCUGACUUCUCGAGCGAUUUUUAAAUCGCACUUUAUCCCACCACGUGACUUUAUCGUUAACGCGAGAAUCGUUAAAAACAGCAAAAAGGUGUGCAAUCAAUGAAAAAAGAGGACGACAAAGAGCAUAAUGUAGAAUUCCCGGAACUGGUAAAGUUCAACUCGGAUAAAACAUCGACGAAUAAUAUUCUCGUUGAGGAGAAAAAUUAGAAGCUGCAGAAUAUUUUCUGAACGUGAUGUAUGCUAAUAACGUUAAAUUGCAGUGUCAAUUACAAGCAGACGUAA